AGAGGAAUAAACAAAUUUAUAUUAGAUGUAGAUAAUUUAAUCCAGCAAAUUGUAGUGGAAACAGUAGAGUCUUUGGUGUCAGACUGAAAUUUGAAAUCUGUUUCUGUGUCUUUCUAGUUUCAUGGCCUAAGGCAAGACAGCUAUUAUCUCUGGCCAUCACAUGCCUCAUCUGUGAAAUAGUCAUGAUAACAGCCUUCCCAAACUGAUGUGAGCAUCACAUGGAAUCACAUGGAAGUAGGUGCUCAGGAUAGCUGCUGGAAAUGUUAAAUUGCAGAAGGCAAAAAUCAAUUUUAUAAUAGGGGGAUUGUUCUUAUACUGACCUUAACAAAUGCCUCAAAAUUACUAAAACAAGAUUUACUAUUGGCUCCUUCAUGCCUGUCUCAGAACAAACACAAUCUGCAUUCAGAACAGGACCGUUUACAAGUUCAAUGGAGUUAUUUUGGGAACUUGCAAACUAACGAGGAUCAUAAUGUGGAACUACA
rnacentral:lncRNA from 1 species